AUGGCCGCCCUCAGACCCCUUGUGAAGCCCAAGAUCAUCAAAAAGAGAACCAAGAAGUUCAUCCGGCACCAGUCUGACUGAUAUGUCAAAAAUUAAGUGUAACUGGCGGAAACCCAGAGGUAUUGACGACAGGGUUCAUAGAAGGUUCAAGAGCCAGAUCUUGAUGCCCAACAUUAGUUAUGGGAGCAACAAAAAAACAAAGCACAUGCUGCCCAGUGGCUUCCAGAAGUUCCUGGUCCACAACGUCAAGGAGCUUGAAGUGCUGCUGAUGUGCAACAAAACUUACUGUGCUGAGAUUGCUCACAAUGUUUCCUCCAAGAACUGCAAAGCCAUCAUGGAAAGAGCCACCCAGCUGGCCAUCAGAGUCACCAACCCCAAUGCCAGGCUGCACAGCGAAGAAAAUGAGUAG
rnacentral:lncRNA from 1 species